ensembl:lncRNA
AAUAUUUGUCUUUGCCUUAUUUCAUUCCACUUCCUCCUUCUUCCUUCUUUCUGUGUUUGUGUCAUGCUGUCUGUAAAUUCUCUCAAGAGAUAACCUUGGAGUAGCAGGCAGUGUGUGCUAGGCUCUGAUACUGAACUGCCAGCUGCAGAGAGCUGCUAGCCACACGACGACUAGAUUUUCACUGAGGGACCUUUGGCCACUUCAUCCAAAUUUAAUCACAAAGUUUGACAGAGUCGGUGAGGGUGCUAGGUGUGUUUAAAGGAGGUGGGGUUGCUUUACAGCUUCCUUUAAGAGCUCAAAGCGAUAACCGCGGCAAGUUUCUGCUGUGCAAACAGAAGAUUGCCUAACAAAUAAGCCACAUUGUUUCUCAUUAGUGACUCCUAUGUCGAAUAUGAAAAUUCAGCCAUCGACCAACGACCAGACAGAGAAGCCCUAGUUGCUGUGAGGAACGGCGGGAGACCUAAGCAUCGCGUCGAGGCUCCACAGCUGAAGGUAGCCCCUCCCCUCCGGCGCCGCUGACAGAGAGCGGUCAGGCUGCGGUUUGGAACUCGCCCCGCACCGAGGAGCCGAGGAAGCGGAGCGCGCGCGAACACGGAAGAGAGACGUGCGGCAAAGCGACACGGCGUCACCGCGGCUGGACCCUCGCGCAGAAACGCCGGACGUCUUUGCGCCAGCCAUGCUUUAGCACGCCCCCUCCGUCCGGUUUUAACCUGAGACACACCCCUCCCUCCCCUUCUCCCCCCCCGCACAUCCAUCCCGAGUGUACAGCCACCCAGGGCGGCAAGAUGCCAAUGCUAACACCGGCGACGCAGCGGAAGCACUUG